UACGUAGGUGGCAAGCGUUGUCCGGAUUUACUGGGUGUAAAGGGUGCGCAGGCGGACUGGUAAGUCAGGAGUGAAAUCUCGGCGCUUAACGCCGAAAACGUCUUUUUGAUACUGUCAGUCUUGAAUUAGCGAGAGAUUCGUGGAAUUCCGAGUGUAGCAGUGAAAAUGUGUAGAUAUUCGGAAGAAACACCAGUGGCGAAGGCAGCGAAUUGGCGCUAUAUUGACGCUCAGGCACGAAAAGCAUGGGGACAAACAGG
rnacentral:rRNA from 1 species